rnacentral:rRNA from 1 species
AGAGUUUGAUCAUGGCUCAGAACGAACGCUGGCGGCGUGGAUAAGACAUGCAAGUCGAACGCUUAUCAUCCAGUAGCAAUAUUGGGUGGUAGGAGUGGCGCAAGGGUGCGUAACACGUGGAUCAUCUACCGGGAAGUUCGGAAUAAUUCCGAGAAAUCGGGACUAAUGCCGGAUGUGGCUGAGAAGCUAAAGCUGGGGACCGCAAGGCCUGGCGCUUCCUGAUGAGUCCGCGGCCUAUCAGCUAGUUGGCGGGGUAACGGCCCACCAAGGCAAAGACGGGUAGCUGGUCUGAGAGGACGACCAGCCACACUGGAACUGAGACACGGUCCAGACACCUACGGGUGGCAGCAGUCGAGAAUUUUUCACAAUGGGCGCAAGCCUGAUGGAGCGACGCCGCGUGGGGGAUGAAUGGCUUCGGCCCGUAAACCCCUGUCAUUUGCGAACAAACCUUGCCCGCUAACACCGGGCGAGCUGAUUGUGGCGAAAGAGGAAGGGACGGCUAACUCUGUGCCAGCAGCCGCGGUAAUACAGAGGUCCCAAGCGUUGUUCGGAUUCACUGGGCGUAAAGGGUGCGCAGGGUGGUCGGGUAAGUCUGAUGUGAAUCCCGCAGCUUAACUGCGGAAUGGCAUUGGAUACUAUUCGGCUAGAGGGUUGGAGGGGGGACUGGAAUUCUCGGUGUAGCAGUGAAAUGCGUAGAUAUCGAGAGAACACCAGUGGCGAAGGCGAGUCCCUGGACAACUCCUGACGCUGAGGCACGAAAGCUAGGGGAGCAAACAGGAUUAGAUACCCUGGUAGUCCUAGCCGUAAACGGUGCACGUUUGCUGUGAGAGGAAUCGACCCCUUUUGUGGUGAAGCUAACGCGUUAAACGUGCCGCCUGGGGAGUACGGUCGCAAGAUUAAAACUCAAAGAAAUUGACGGGGGCCUGCACAAGCGGUGGAGUAUGUGGCUCAAUUCGAUGCAACGCGAAGAACCUUACCUGGCCUUGACAUGUAGGUAGUAGAACCGUGAAAACGGGACGAGGUAGCAAUACCAGCCUACACAGGUGCUGCAUGGCUGUCGUCAGCUCGUGUCGUGAGAUGUUGGGUUAAGUCCCGCAACGAGCGCAACCCUUGCCAUUAGUUGCUACAUUCAGUUGAGCACUCUAAUGGGACUGCCGGUGACAAACCGGAGGAAGGUGGGGAUGACGUCAAGUCCUCAUGGCCCUUAUGGGUGGGGCUACACACGUCAUACAAUGGCGCGUACAGAGGGUUGCCAACCCGCGAGGGGGAGCCAAUCCCAGAAAGCGCGUCGUAGUCCGGAUUGAAGUCUGCAACUCGACUUCAUGAAGUCGGAAUCGCUAGUAAUCGCGGAUCAGCAUGUCGCGGUGAAUACGUUCCCGGGCCUUGUACACACCGCCCGUCACACCAUGGGAGUGGGUUUCACCAGAAGCAGGUUGCCUAACCGCAAGGAGGGCGCCUACCACGGUGAGAUUCAUGACUGGGGUGAAGUCGUAACAAGGUAACCGU